AUUAAAACACUGGUUCCUGUAUGAUCACCAAAGUUAAGCAACAUCAAGCCUUGUCAGUACUUAGAUAGGUGACUGCUUGAGAAUACCAGGUGCUGUAA
rnacentral:rRNA from 1 species